CGACGGAGUAGAAGCGUUCAGUCCGGUGCCCUGCCAACCCUGGCGACACCGACAGGAAAUUGCUCCCGAC
rnacentral:ncRNA from 1 species